AACUCCCCAGGGGAACGGUAAAGGUCUGACUAAGGGUCAUAGUUUGGUUUGGUUACAUAGUUGUAUGCCUAGGUCUAAACUCAUGGAUUGCUACACCGGAGAUCUGCACAUUUCAUUGCACGUAAAAUCUAUUUCAAAAGGGGGAAAAAAGGAACCACCAGCAAAUAGUGAAUUCUAAUGAUACGCUUGGUGGAGUGUUUAAGGAUGAAAUGUACUUACAUCUGCAACUCACUUGGAAAUGCACGGAAAGAUGAAGCCGUGGCUCAGAGAGAUUGAGUUGUCUGCCUGAAGAUUGAUGUCCUGUUCCAUCUGUCAGCAGGGUGACUUGAAUUUAACCAUGGAGAGACAGCCCUUUGUUCUGGGGAGAAACCACCAUGGACCUGUUUGUUUUCUACAGCUACUCUUCCAAAGGGACUCCGGUGCCAUUAUUAACCUGAAUGCUGACGAGCCAAGUGUUUAUUUUGAUCGUGAAAGCUGGAUGUAUCUCUUAUCUGUGACACAAAAAUACAAGGCAAAUGAAUAGGAGAAACUGAGACCCAGAAAGGAGGGCCCUUGGCUGAGGCCAGAGACCAAGGUCCACAUCUCUGGUACACCCUGCAUAUCACCCAGAGCAGGUCUGUGCACAAAGGAGGAGCUCACUCCAUCCCUGCCAACAAGCUGACGUUAACUUUCUGCAGGUGAGUUAACACCACACACUGACACGCGCUUCCGACCUUUGCCCGAUAACCGGCUCUGGUUCAUUCAUCCACGAAUGGAAAUGAGCUCACAGAAGAGGUUACUUAACAUUACUGGCCCGAGCCCAGCCUAAUUCUCCCACAGCCAGCCACGACUGCCCGGGUCCGUGCCCCCCACUAUCUACUCCACCAAGUCUACCACUCUUCACCCCUCUUCCCCUAAGAACACACCACAGGGGCGCCUGGGUGGCUCAGUCUGUUAAGCGUCAGGCUUCGGCUCAGGUCACAAUCUCAUGGUUCGUGAGUUCCAGCCCUGCAUUGGGCUCUGUGCCGACAGCUCAGAGCCUGGAGCCUGCUUCGGAUUCUGCCUCCCUCUAUCUCUCUCUGCUCCUCCCCCGCUCGCACUUUGUCUCUCUCUCUCAAAAAAAAUUAAUAAACAUUAAAAAAAAAAUUAGAAAGGCCUUUCUUAAAAAAACAAAAGACAAAAACACACAGCACAG